CCCUACAUUGAAAACAGGUUAUAGAACAUUAUAACCCAUACCUCUCACAAAUAUAGAAGGACUGCACUCCAGUGAGGCACCCAGGAGGGAAAUUAAUGAAAACAAGAUGAGAAGAAAUGUAUUCAUCUUUAACAAGGUUAAAGGAUUCAAAUCUGGAUGAGGCUUUGGCUAUCCUUUUACAGCAAAAUUGUUGAGAGAAUUUUCAGCUUUAAUAACCAGGAAAGCAAAACUCAAAGGGAGCAAAAGGUGAGAGAAAGGUUGCUGCAAGCUGGAGGAUUGGAGGCUACAGCUGGCAGAAAAAGGGCUGGCACAGAUGGCUUGCACUCAAGGGAAGUACCACAAAGAAUAAAGUGGAGGCGUAGCAAACAAGAAGUGGAGUUAGAAGUGAUGCUCUGAGGAAAGUGGAAAAGAGAAUAAAGGGAAUCAGAGAAUAAUUAGCCAAAAAAGAGAGUAGAACAGGAGAGAGCUGGCCUCUCAAAUGCCAUGGAACCUGUUGGUUUCGCUGUUCCAUUAUAAUGAAGUCAUUGAGACAAUUGUAAACUGCGAAUCCAUUCAAUAUCAGACUAAAAUCAUUCUACUA